GACGAACGCUGGCGGCGUGCCUAAUACAUGCAAGUCGAACGAACCGCGACUAAGUGCUUGCACUAAGUCAAGGUGAGUGGCGAACGGGUGAGUAACACGUGGGUAACCUACCUCAUAGUGGGGGAUAACAGUCGGAAACGACUGCUAAUACCGCAUAGGACAUAGGAUCACAUGAUCCAGUGAGGAAGGGUGGCGCAAGCUAUCGCUAAGAGAUGGACCCGCGGUGCAUUAGCUAGUUGGUAGGGUAAAGGCCUACCAAGGCGAUGAUGCAUAGCCGACCUGAGAGGGUGAUCGGCCACAUUGGGACUGAGACACGGCCCAAACUCCUACGGGAGGCAGCAGUAGGGAAUCUUCCGCAAUGGACGCAAGUCUGACGGAGCAACGCCGCGUGAGUGAAGAAGGUCUUCGGAUCGUAAAGCUCUGUUGUUAGAGAAGAACAGCGCAUAGAGUAACUGCUAUGCGUGUGACGGUAUCUAACCAGAAAGCCACGGCUAACUACGUG
rnacentral:rRNA from 1 species